GAUUUUUGCCUUCGGGUACAAUUGAGACAGGUGGUGCAUGGUUGUCGUCAGCUCGUGUCGUGAGAUGUUGGGUUAAGUCCCGCAACGAGCGCAACCCUUGUGUUUAGUUGCAAACAGGUCAAGCUGUGCACUCUAGACAGACUGCCGUGGACAACACGGAGGAAGGUGGGGAUGACGUCAAAUCAUCAUGCCCCUUAUGAUCUGGGCUACACACGUGCUACAAUGGCCGGUACAACGGGCAGCGAAGGAGCGAUCCGGAGCGAAUCCUAAAAAGCCGGUCCCAGUUCGGAUUGCAGGCUGAAACUCGCCUACAUGAAGUUGGAGUUGCUAGUAAUCGCGAAUCAGAAUGUCGCGGUGAAUGCGUUCCCGGGUCUU
rnacentral:rRNA from 1 species